rnacentral:piRNA from 1 species
UGAUCAGGUCUGAAAAGGGA